GCCACAUUACCUCUCCCCUCUAUCUGCAGGUCAGGAGUGUGACGGGACACUCCCCGCUUCCCUGGGUGGAGUUAGUCCAUGCACACAACAUCUGCCACAUUACCUCUCCCCGCCAUCAGCAGGUCAGGAGUGUGACGGGACACUCCCCGCUUCCCUGGGUGGAGUUAGUCCAUGCACCCUGCAUCCGCCACAUUACCUCUCCCCUCCAGCUACAGGUCAGGAGUGUGACGGGACACUCCCCGCUUCCCUGGGUGGAGUUAGUCCACGCACUCCGCAUCCGCCACAUUACCCUCCACAAAUCAGGAGUGUGAUGGGACACUCCCCACUUGCCUGGGUGGAGUUAGUCCAUGCACUCCGCAUCCGCCACAUUACCUCUCCCCUCUAUCUGCAGGUCAGGAGUGUGACGGGACACUCCCCGCUUCCCUGGGUGGAGUUAGUCCAUGCACCCUGCAUCUGCCACAUUACCUCUCCCCUCCAGCUACAGGUCAGGAGUGUGACAGGACACUCCCCGCUUCCCUGGGGGGAGUUGCAGCUCCAACGACUCUCGAGAAACUCGAUAGCAUCCUGGACAGAGCAGACCGCUCGAUCGGCGCCCCACCCACCUCCCCCCGGCCUUCGGAACCCUCCCACCCCUCCCUCCGCCACAGUGGGCGCACCGUUUACAGAACGCACCGGGCUCUCUCGCCUGGGGGCGACCCCGAUGGCACUUCCCGAACCCUGUGGUGUGGGAGGGGUGGUGAGGGAGCGCCACAAUUCAAGGAGUGCAGAGCUGCCCUCAAACACUAAUUGGGGCAGGAGGAGGCUGUUCACUCCUCUCGAUGUUCCGCAAUUUAAUAAUAUUGUGGUUGAUUUGAUUGUAACCUCAAUGCGCUGUUCCCCACCCACCUGUUACCCCUCCCCAUCGCUAAUCAAGAAUCUCUAAAAUAUCAAGGACUUUGCUUCCGAUGUCAAUUGAUGAAGAGAGUUCCAACGACUCGUCAGAAAUCGUUUUUGUCGCAAUCUGUUUUAAAUGGGUGCUCUCUGAGGAGAGAGAGAGAGAGAGAGACAGAGAGACAGAAACAGCGAGGCAGAAAUCGAGAGCAAGAGAGCGAGAGAGAGAGAGAGAGAGAAACAGAGUUUGUGUUCGGGGGACAGUGCGUUUUGGAUGAAAUGUGCGUAGAGCAGAAAUGUUUGUUGAGGUAAAUAUGUGUUGGGGAGUGGUUGCUGGUGGGCAGUGCGUUCACGGUAGUGCAGCAGUUAGCGUAACGCUAUUACAGCGCCAGCGACCGGGGUUCAAUUCCCGCCGCUGUCUGUAAGGAGUUUGUACGUUCUCCCCGUGUCUGCGUGGGUUUCCUCCGGGUGCUCCGGUUUCCUCCCACAUUCCAAAGACGUAGGGGUUAGGAAGUUGUGGGCAUGCUAUGUUGGCGCUGGAAGCGUGGCGACACUUGCGGGCUGCCCCCCAGAACACUCUACGCAAAAGGUGCAUCUCACUGUGUGUUUCGAUGUACAUGUGGCUAAUAAAGAAAUUGUAUUGUAUCGUAGUUGGAAGUGUGUUUGUGUGUCUGGGGAACAGAGUGUUUACAGGGGGGAGUGUUGCAGUGUAACCUUGUGCAUCCCUGUGUUAGUACAGCUUGUGCCUCCCGUGUCAUCUGAACAGUGGGCAAACUAUUGUUCAGAAACUAUCAGUGGAAGGAAAUAAAAAUGCAUUGAAGUGAG